CCUUCGCUUCAUGGCCCUCUAGUAGUUCCAGGGUGUUCGCAGUUGUGACCUGCUUCCCGUGAGCCUCUGCUCUACGCUCCUGGAUGGGGCGUGCGUUCCCUACCCAGCAGCCCUCGCGCGGUCCGGCACAGCGGACACCGGGACUCCAAGAUGGCGUCAGUUGUAUCAGUGAAGGACAAGAAACUUCUGGAGGUCAAACUGGGGGAGCUGCCAAGCUGGAUCUUGAUGCGGGACUUCAGCCCUAGUGGCAUUUUCGGAGCGUUUCAAAGAGGUUACUACAGGUACUACAACAAGUACAUCAAUGUGAAGAAGGGGAGCAUCUCGGGGAUUACCAUGGUGCUGGCAUGCUACGUGCUCUUCAGCUACUGCUUUUCCUACAAGCAUCUCAGUGAGUGCCUCUGCGGCAUCUUGCCUUCAGUUCCCACGAGAGGGUGGUGGUGAAUGAUUUCAUUAGAUACAGCAGCCCACCUUCUUCCAAGGCUGAGGGACUUUUAAGCACGAGCGGCUCCGCAAAUACCACUGAAGAGGACACGCUCUGCACCCCCACACCCCACGACCAUGGCCCGAGCCCCUCCAUGAGGAACACAAUCUCAAUCGUUGCUGAAUCCUUUCAUAUCCUAAUGGGAAUUAACCUCCAAAUAAAAGAUGACUGGUA